CAUGUACUCCCUCCGUUCCGAAUUACUUGUCUUGGAUUUGUCUAGAUACGGAUGUAUCUAGACUCAUUUUAGUGCUAGAUACCUCCGUAUCUAGACAAAUCUAAGACAAGUAAUUCGGAACGGAGGGAGUAAUAG
rfam:Triticum aestivum genome assembly, contig: Triticum_aestivum_CS42_TGACv1_scaffold_393569_5AS